rnacentral:misc_RNA from 1 species
AAUUGCAGUUCCGUACAUUUAGCAGAUGAUUUUAAUACUUUUUAUUUUUGAUCAGUUUCCAUUUAUCAAAAACUCGGAUAAUUUUCACUUGUGACUUGUCACAUAACUCAGUUGAAUGUACGUUCCUUUUGGAUUCUCAAACAUAAUAACUUUUGAUGUAUUUGGUCUAGAAAAAAAUUUAAAUACUAUUUCCGAAAGAAAAAAAUCUGCUCUUUCGAAGGCACCAUUAGAAUUGACCUACGAUGCGAAGAUAUUAUCUAUGUGCAUCUUGUUCAUUUAUCGCAAUCCAAAUGCUGAUGCUAAAACCUAUCGAUUGAUAAUUGCAUCAAAUCGAGAUGAAACGUAUAAACGUCCUGCAUCACCAGCCAACUAUUGGGAAGAACAUCCUGAAUGUUUAGGAGGUACUGAUAUGGAGCCUGGUAAGGAAGGCGGAACUUGGUUGGCCUUAUCAAUAAAAGGAAAAGCUGCUGUUAUUUUAAAUCUAGUUAAUGGAGGAAGUUCAAUGGAUUCACCAAAAAAAGGUCGUGGUUUCUUAAUAACCAAUUUCAUCACUUCCAAUGAGUCUAUAGAAUCAUAUUUAAGUAACUUGCAUAAGGAAAAUAUUGAUCAACCAUAUAAUCCUUAUUGCUUAGUUUUAUUUAAUUUAAACAAUGCGGAUGUGCAUUAUCUGAGUAGUUGUACAAAGAAUGCCGGACAUAAAAUCUGCAACAGUGAUAUUAUAGGUAUUGGAAAUAGUGGAUUAAGUCAUCCUUAUAAAAAAGUUGAAGUAGGAAAAGAAUAUUUUAAACGUAUUGUACAAGAUGUUGAUACAUCAAAACAAGAUGAUUUAAUCGACAAGCUUAUUCAGUUCUUAAAAUCAAAGAAAAGAGGCAUACAAGAUUUCAUGGUUUUAUUCUCAAUAUCGCACUGAAAAGUAUUGGCCACGAUCCAAUCCGAAAUUUUUGCAAAGCAGCAUUCACGAUAAAACCUUGUGAAUGCGAAACACUAUUUUUGAGUAAGACAUUUUAUGCAGGAUGUCUACCAGAUGAGGAAUUACAAAAAAGAUGUCCAAUGAGAUAUGAAGACCUCAGUUCAAUCUUUGUUUCUGGAAAAGAAUAUGGUACAAGAACACAUUCCAUAUUACUAAUUGAUGGUUCGAAUCAUGUGACUUUUGUU